rnacentral:rRNA from 1 species
UACGGAGGGUGCAAGCGUUGUUCGGAUUUAUUGGGCGUAAAGCGCGUGUAGGCGGUUUCUUAAGUCUGAUGUGAAAGCCCUGGGCUCAACCCAGGAAGUGCAUUGGAUACUGGGAGACUUGAAUACGGGAGAGGGUAGUGGAAUUCCUAGUGUAGGAGUGAAAUCCGUAGGUAUUAGGAGGAACACCGGUGGCGAAGGCGGCUACCUGGACCGAUAUUGACGCUGAGACGCGAAAGCGUGGGGAGCAAACAGG